rnacentral:rRNA from 1 species
GACGAACGCUGGCGGCGUGCUUAACACAUGCAAGUCGAACGGAAAGGCCCUUCGGGGUACUCGAGUUGCGAACGGGUGAGUAACACGUGGGUGAUCUGCCCUGCACUUUGGGAUAAGCCUGGGAAACUGGGUCUAAUACCGAAUAGGACCACGCGCUUCAUGGUGUGUGGUGGAAAGCUUUUGCGGUGUGGGAUGGGCCCGCGGCCUAUCAGCUUGUUGGUGGGGUAAUGGCCUACCAAGGCGACGACGGGUAGCCGGCCUGAGAGGGUGACCGGCCACACUGGGACUGAGAUACGGCCCAGACUCCUACGGGAGGCAGCAGUGGGGAAUAUUGCACAAUGGGCGCAAGCCUGAUGCAGCGACGCCGCGUGAGGGAUGACGGCCUUCGGGUUGUAAACCUCUUUCAAUAGGGACGAAGCGCAAGUGACGGUACCUAUAGAAGAAGCACCGGCCAACUACGUG